GAUGAACGCUAGCGAUAGGCUUAACACAUGCAAGUCGAGGGGCAGCACAAGGUAGCUUGCUCUCUGGGUGGCGACCGGCGCACGGGUGCGUAACGCGUAUGCAACUUGCCCUAUACAGGAGGAUAACCCGUCGAAAGACGGACUAAUACUGCGUAUGCUCACAACUUGGCAUCAAGUGGUGAGGAAAGAAAUUCGGUAUAGGAUAGGCAUGCGUCCCAUUAGCUUGUUGGUGAGGUAACGGCUCACCAAGGCAACGAUGGGUAGGGGAACUGAGAGGUUUAUCCCCCAACCUGGUACUGAGACACGGACCAGACUCCUACGGGAGGCAGCAGUGAGGAAUAUUGGUCAAUGGGCGCGAGCCUGAACCAGCCAAGUCGCGUGAAGGAUGACUGUCUUAUGGAUUGUAAACUUCUUUUAUACGGGAAUAACAAGAGUCACGUGUGACUCCCUGCAUGUACCGUAUGAAUAAGCAUCGGCUAACUCCGUG
rnacentral:rRNA from 1 species